GAACGGGAAGAAUAAGUAAGGGUUAAUAUCUCUUACGAUGACGGUACUGUUUGUAAGCUCCGGCUAACUCCGUGCCAGCAGCCGCGGUAAUACGGGGGGAGCAAGCGUUGUUCGGAUUUACUGGGCGUAAAGGGCGCGUAGGCGGCCACCGCAAGUCGACUGUGAAAUCUCCGGGCUUAACCCGGAACGGUCAGCCGAUACUGCAGGGCUAGAGUGCAGAAGGGGCAACUGGAAUUCUCGGUGUAGCGGUGAAAUGCGUAGAUAUCGAGAGGAACACCUGCGGCGAAGGCGGGUUGCUGGGCUGACACUGACGCUGAGGCGCGAAAGCUAGGGGAGCGAACGGGAUUAGAUACCCCGGUAGUCCUAGCCUUAAACGAUGAAUGCUUGGUGUCUGGGGUUUUAUAGUCCCCGGGUGCCGUCGCUAACGCUUUAAGCAUUCCGCCUGGGGAGUACGGUCGCAAGACUGAAACUCAAAGGAAUUGACGGGGACCCGCACAAGCGGUGGAGCAUGUGGUUUAAUUCGACGCAACGCGAAGAACCUUACCUGGGCUAGAAUGCCUCUGACCGGCGUAGAGAUACGCUUUCCUGGGUAAAACCAGGCAGAGUGCAAGGUGCUGCAU
rnacentral:rRNA from 1 species